CCCGCUGAACUUAAGCAUAUCAAUAAGCGGAGGAAAAGAAACUAAGAAGGAUUCCCCUAGUAACUGCGAGUGAAGCGGGAAAAGCUCAAAUUUAAGGUCUGGCGGUCUUGCGGCCGUGCGAGUUGUAAUCUGGAGAAGCGUCUAUCCGCGUCGGUCCGUGUACAAGUCUUCUGGAAGGGAGCGUCGUAGAGGGUGAGAAUCCCGUUUUUGACACGGACCACCGAUGCUAUUGCGAUGCGCUCUCGAAGAGUCGUAGUUGUUUGGGAAUGCAGCUCCAAAGGGGUGGUCUAUUCCAUCUAAAGCUAAAUAUUGGCGAGAGACCGAUAGCGAACAAGUACCGUGAGGGAAAGAUGAAAAGCACUUUGGAAAGAGAGUUAAACAGUACGUGAAAUUGUUGAAAGGGAAACGUUUGAAGUCAGUCGUGUCGGUCGAAACUCAACCUUGCUCUUUGCUCGGUGCUCUUCUCGGUUGGCGGGACACCGUCCGUUUCGACCGCACGACAUAGGUCAGGGGACUGUGGAAUCCUUCGGGAUGUGUUAUAGCCCUUGAUUCGCAUAUGCCGAUUGGCAUUGAGGAACUCGGCGCUUCACGCGUCCAGGAUGCUGGCAUAAUGGCUUUAAGCGACCCGUCUUGAGACACG
rnacentral:rRNA from 1 species